CAUAAUCUCUGAGGAGAAAAGCAGGGGAUCGUAAGACCUUGUGCUUUUGGAGCGGCCGAUGCCUGAUUAGCUAGUUGGUGGGGUAAAGGCCUACCAAGGCUUCGAUCAGUAGUUGGUCUGAGAGGACGGACAGCCACACUGGGACUGAGACACGGCCCAGACUCCUACGGGAGGCAGCAGUGGGGAAUUUUGGACAAUGGGCGCAAGCCUGAUCCAGCCAUGCCGCGUGAGUGAAGAAGGCCUUCGGGUUGUAAAGCUCUUUCAGUUGGGAAGAAACGAUUGCAACUAAUAAUUGUAAUUAAU
rnacentral:rRNA from 1 species